GGUAUAUCAGAUUGUUUACUCUGAUUAAAAGGAAACAGAUAACAGUUAUAUUAAUUGUCAUACAUACAAGUUUAUUUGUAACAUGUCCUGGCUUAAUACGCUAGGACCUAUUGUCAAAUAUAUUCAUUGGUUUCCAGGAACAACAACAUCAUUAGAUGAUUUGACAAUUACAUACAUGAAACUUUCACACCAUAUACUUCACCAGUCUACGCUUUUAACAAUUUUAACAAAAUUGGUAAAAAAAAAUAAGCUGACACUCAAAUAAAAAAAUAUGAACACAAUAUCAUAAAAGAAGCAAGGUUUUAUAAUGAAAUAUCAUAUAGUUAUUUCGUUUGGAUAUGUAAAAAAUUCAAAUUGCAUUGUAUCUAUAAGUAUCAUUCUACUACUUUUACUUGUUGUUAUAUAAAUUUC
rnacentral:lncRNA from 1 species